rnacentral:rRNA from 1 species
GGAUUGGGAGGGUUCUACGGAACCCGUUUGGUGAAUCUAGUGCCGAGAAAAGCCUUCUAUGUGUUGAAUUUCUAGUACCCGUACCCCAAACCGACACAGGUGGGUGGGUAGAGCAUACCUAGGGGCGCGUGAUAACUCUCUCUAAGGAACUCGGCAAAAUGGCCCUGUAACUUCGGGAUAAGGGGUGCCUGCGUGAGCAGGCCGCAGUGAAAUGGCUCUGGCGACUGUUUACCAAAAACACAGGUCUCUGCUAAGUCGUAAGACGAUGUAUAGGGGCUGACUCCUGCCCAGUGCCGGAAGGUUAAGGAAGUUGGUUAGCGCAAGCGAAGCUGGCGACCGAAGCCCCGGUGAACGGCGGCCGUAACAAUAACGGUCCUAAGGUAGCGAAAUUCCUUGUCGGGUAAGUUCCGACCCGCACGAAAGGAGUAACGAUCAGAGCGCUGUCUCGGAGAGAGACACGGCGAAAUAGGAUUGUCCGUGAAGAUACGGACUACCUGCACCCGGACAGAAAGACCCUAUGAAGCUUUACUGUAACUUGGAAUUGUGUUCGGACUUUGUCUGCGCAGAAUAGGUGGGAGGCUAUGAAACGUUCCUCGCGGGGAACUGGAGCCAUCGUUGAGAUACCACUCUGGCAGAGUCUGGAUUCUAACCUACGGGGACAGUUCCAGGUGGGCAGUUUGACUGGGGCGGUCGCCUCCUAAAAUGUAACGGAGGCGCGCAAAGGUUCCCUCAGGCUGGUUGGAAAUCAGCCAUAGAGUGUAAAAGCAUAAGGGAGCUUGACUGUAAGACCUACAAGUCGAGCAGGGACGAAAGUCGGCUUUAGUGAUCCGACGGCACUGAGUGGAAGGGCCGUCGCUCAACGGAUAAAAGUUACUCUAGGAUAACAGGCUGAUCUCCCCCAAGAGUUCACAUCGACGGGGAGGUUUGGCACCUCGAUGUCGGCUCGUCGCAACCUGGGGCGGUAGUACGUCCCAAGGGUUGGGCUGUUCGCCCAUUAAAGCGGCACGUGAGCUGGGUUCAGAACGUCGUGAGACAGUUCGGUCCAUAUCCGGUGUAGGCGUAGGAGCAUUGAAAGGAUCUCUCCUUAGUACGAGAGGACCGGGAGGGACGUACCUCUGGUGUACCUGUUAUCGUGCCAACGGUAAACGCAGGGUAGCCAUGUACGGAGUGGAUAACCGCUGAAAGCAUCUAAGUGGGAAGCCCACCUUAAGAUGAGUGCUCCCUUGAGGCCACGGGAAGACGACCCGUUUGAUAGGCGCUAGGUGGAAGUGCAGUAAUGCAUGCAGCCGAGGCGUACUAAUAGGCCGAUGGC